rnacentral:rRNA from 1 species
AUUGAACGCUGGCGGCGUGCCUAACACAUGCAAGUCGAGCGGUAACAGGUGUAGCAAUACAUGCUGACGAGCGGCGGACGGGUGAGUAACGCUUGGGAAUCUGCCUGUUAGUGGGGGACAACCCGGGGAAACUCGGGCUAAUACCGCAUACGCACUACGGUGGAAAGCCGGGGACCGCAAGGCCUGGCGCUAACAGAUGAGCCCAAGUCGGAUUAGCUAGUUGGUAGGGUAACGGCCACCAAGGCGACGAUCCGUAACUGGUCUGAGAGGACGACCAGUCACACCGGAACUGAGACACGGUCCGGACUCCUACGGGAGGCAGCAGUGGGGAAUAUUGGACAAUGGGCGAAAGCCUGAUCCAGCGACGCCGCGUGGGUGAAGAAGGCCUGCGGGUUGUAAAGCCCUUCGGUGGGGAAGAAAAGCCUCGAGUUAACACCUCGGGUCUUGACGUAACCAUAGAAGAAGCACCGGCUAACUCUGUG